CAAGGGAACGGGCUUGGCGGAAUCAGCGGGGAAGAAGACCCUGCUGGGCUCGACU
rnacentral:miRNA from 1 species